AAUAGCAGUAGAGGCAUUGGCCGGAACAGUAGCAGUCACUGUGGAACGUUACCAGUACCAGUGAACAGUAGCAGUCACUGUGAAGCGUCAAUGUCGCGUGCUUUUCCCAACAAAGUAAGCGAAUGGUCCCAGAAAAAUGUGGCGCUUAUGAAAUGCCCAACGCCCGUUCCAUUGCAUGGCAAAUGAGCCGAAAUUGAGCAUCAGGGGAGCGACCGUAGAAUAAGAGUGAAAUUAGAGAAAUGUGAACAACAAUUUUGCCACGCUGCAAAUAAAAAUUGCAUGUGCAAUGACUUUAUUUGUGUCAUCACAAAUCGCAGCUAACAGCUUAAAACUUAGCGGUUUAUUGCUAUUUCAUACGAAUUAUUGAUCUAUGCUCGACAACGACAACAACAAAACAAACAUUGGAAACAAUAAUAGCAACAAUCUCAUUUAACGGCAACAUUGAACAUCAAUUGACAUCACGCAUACGCAGUGUUUGACGCCAAAUUUUUGCAACAAUUUUGUGUGUUAAUUGGUCGUGUCGAAUGGUGUCAGACAAUUUGCGAGAAAAGUUGCAUCUCGCUAGCAACUGAAGCGAAGCGGGCAAGAAUAAUAAAAGAGACACAAAAGGCAACAACAUCCUCAUCAGAAAGAGACAGCAACUUCGAUCUAGCCAAAUUGUUGCAUAGUUUGACAGUUAGAAAAAACUUACAUCUACGGCGGCAACAUGUCGUUGUUGUCGGCAACAGCAACAGCAACAGCAACAGCAAA